UACGUAGGGUGCAAGCGUUAAUCGGAAUUACUGGGCGUAAAGCGUGCGCAGGCGGUGAUGUAAGACAGGUGUGAAAUCCCCGGGCUUAACCUGGGAACUGCAUUUGUGACUGCAUCGCUGGAGUGCGGCAGAGGGGGAUGGAAUUCCGCGUGUAGCAGUGAAAUGCGUAGAUAUGCGGAGGAACACCGAUGGCGAAGGCAAUCCCCUGGGCCUGCACUGACGCUCAUGCACGAAAGCGUGGGUAGCAACAGG
rnacentral:rRNA from 1 species